rnacentral:lncRNA from 1 species
UUUUUUUUUUUUUUUUUUUUUUUUCUGGAUAUGUUAAAUUUGCUGCUUGGAAUUUUAUGGCACAAAUGCAGAACAGGACACAUUCCAACCAUGCCUUUUCUUGGAUUGGUAGUCCAUAAUCCUUGAAUUUCUAGAAUAUGAUCUUUUAUUUUACAGUGUUGGCCUCACCCCUGACUCCUCAGCCUGUCAUGAGAUGGGAGGAUAGGCAGGGACUAUAGCAGAACAAAAACAGCGAUCUCAUGGGCACAGGGAAUUGUUGUCCCUUGUCCAACACAGCACAAGACGAAUCCUGAGUAACAUGAGUCAUCACACUGAUUGGAAGCAAGAGAGAAAAUGAAUACCAUUGUGAUUACUGAGCAUUGGUCUUCAGAAGCCUUUGGGGAGACAGGCUCAGUCAACCCUGGAGGACUGCCUGCCAUGAGGCCUGGACCUUGCCUAGCAUAGGGUGACCUUGCCAACUUCCAGGGGCACACUCUGCCAAGAUGGCUUUGCCAGUACCAGCUAUGCCAUGUCACUAGAGGGAGACAAAAGAUUUUGAGGUAGACACUUGAAUGGCAGGGACAUGUGUGGGACAGGAUCUGUUGUGCCCUGUCCUGACAUACUAUCAGAGUUGGAAGAAGCACUGGAGGAGGGACCCACAAGGCACAGGCUGAGGGCAGGGCCAAGUGUUGUACUGCUCCAUUAAACCUAUUUGUGUUUUCUUUUAAAUAUCUAUCUCUUCAUUACCAUUUUUUUUUCCAGAUAAUGUCAGUUUUUACGUUAGUAGGAACACUGAAGAUAUACAGUGGGAUUUUCUCAUGUUACCAACAUUCACCUCCAACUUAUAGACUUCCCUGUAUCCAUAUUCACUUUUAAUUAACUCUGUCAAUCUAUGGUAAUUGUCAACUUUGGAGCCAAGAUGAUAGAAUGCCUCAAGGCACAGCGUCUAAUGUUUCAUGGAAUCACCGUUUUACUGCAAAUAAAAUGGAUGUACUAUCUAGUUGAUGGGGUUGUGGUGAGGUUUAAAUGCCGUAUAUACAUAUAUCUAUAUUAUAAUACAUAUAUAUAUUUUUUUUAUUUGUAAAUUACAGCUCUGGAAUAUAGCACACACCAUACAUUAUAGAGGUAGUAUAUCUGUGCUUAUACAAUGAUAGGCAUGCGUUAUUUUUCUUUUCUGAAUUAAGAAAUAUAAAAAUCAUACUUUGUUAGAAUUUACCUUCUGUGCUGAAAAAGAGCUGUAACAAAAGGAAAUUAAAUUACAUUUUUGCUGUGAGAUUUAGGAGCAGAAAUAGGAGUCUGUCUACAGAUUAUUUAGAAGAGCUCGUAAGCAAGCCCCUGAAUGAGGGGCUUUGCAAUCCCAGCCAGAACUAGCUCAAGAGAAAAACAAAAACACAACAUGAAUAAAGAUAAUAUUUAUCAUUCACUUAAUUACAAAUAAUAAUUUCUUUGUAUUUAUCUAAAUUAGAUUUGCAUCAAUAUAAUGGAAACUUGACAUGUCCCCGAUGCAGAUUGGGACAUUAUAUUUCCACACGUGGACAGGUAUGGAUAAAUAUACAUGUGGCUUUUUGCAAUGAAAUAGGUUUUGCUCUUCCAAAGUCUUCGUUAUACGUAAGGACAUCCAUUAUAAGGAAUCCAUGAAAUAAGUUAGAUCCAACUAACUCUAAGAAAAAUUAUGGAGGGGCCAUUAAGACCAAUGUACAUAUCAUCACAUGCAUACAUGUAUGGAUAACACAGUCGUAUGGUCUCACUAAUCCAAACUGGCUUAAAGCAUUGAAAGAAAUAUGGAGGGGCCCCUAGGUAGCUAGUGGCUGAGCGUCUGCCUUUGGGUCAGGUCAUGAUCCCAGGGUCCCGGGAUCAAGUCCUGCAUCAUGUUCCCUGCAGGAAGCCUUCUUCUCCCUCUGCUUAUCUCUCUGCCUCUCUCUGUGUGUCGUUCAUGAAUAAAUAAAUUUUAAAAAUCUUAAAAAAAAGAAAUAUGGAGUCAUAUUUAUUGGAGCAUGAGAUAAAGGACACUGUGUACAAAGGUGUGUAGGAGCUCAAUACAUAAGGGUUUUAAUUAAUGAUGUCAAUUCACGUGGAAGGAACACAUAGCCCUUCCGUGAUCCUAGUAUUUAGCAAAAGGGACUUCCUGGUCCAUGUUUUAGAAAGACCAUGUAGUCAUUUGUAGAUAACUGCAUGUGUGACUAAGACAUAUAAUAUAAUGAAAUAUCUGGUAGCUAGACAUGAACUAGAUUAAAAGGACCAUCAUUUGUUUUAUUAUAGGUACACAUAAAUACUUCGCCCUUGGUUUGGGUUAAUUAUUCAUUGUGCAAUGCUGCUAUCUACCUUUUAGAUGCCUUUGCUCUGUUACAUUAUUUGUAAGACAAGCAAUAAAGCUUGCUUUCUUUAUCCCUUCUCUUUCUUACCAGAGCAUAUUCUUUUUAACAAAUAGUUCUUUAUCCGGAGGAGAUGGGAGGAGGAAAGGGGGUAGCUUGUGUCAUGUCCCUAAUAUGCUUCUAGUAACACAGAGCUCAUUAAAAAGAAAAAUCCCUACAGGAAGUAUUUUGUUCCCGCUUUUAUCAAUUAGAAUUUUGAACUUUAUCUGUGUUUACAACUUAAUGGGCAAUUGAAUGGGGGAAGCAGAAAUAACUGAUAGACAUGAAUAUUUUAUUAUAUGAAUAUUUAAUGAUAUUUUUUCUUAGUAAUGUAUAUUAAUUGCAUUUUUAAAACUAAUCUUUUUUGCUAGUCCCUUAGCAGCUCUGAAGUGUGUGCAUAUAACGCUUAACAUUUUUUUCUUUGAAUGUGAUAAGUAAAAAAGUAAAUAGGAACAAUAUUAAAAUUUUGGCGCCUGUAUGUACGGUCAGGUCUUUCGUCAACAAUACAGAAAGCAAAUGUAUUAUGUACCCUUAUUCGACUUCCAGAAGAAUGAAGACCCUAAUCCAUGCAUUAUCUACCACCCUAUAAAGUGACAGAGAUUGUUCAUGAAUAAAUACAAAUGCUAAUUAUGGCAAUGGUGACCUAGGAUAGCUAGGCAGUAUUUUGCUAGCAAUAUUAGUUUAUGACCUAGAAUGGGGUCAGCCAACUUUUUUUCUAAAGAGCUAGACAUUCAAUAGGUCAACAUUUGCAGUAGGUCUCUGUUGCAACCGCUCCGUUCAGCCACUGCAGUGUAAAAGCAGCCAUCGGGAUCCCUGGGUGGCGCAGCGGUUUGGCGCCUGCCUUUGGCCCAGGGCGCGAUCCCGGAGACCCGGGAUCGAAUCCCACAUCGGGUUCCCGGUGCAUGGAGCCUGCUUCUCCCUCUGCCUGUGUCUCUGCCUCUCUCUCUCUCUCUUUGUGUGACUAUCAUAAAUAAAUAAAAAAAUUAAAAAAAUAAAAAAUAAAAGCAGCCAUCAACAAUACUUGACUGUUAAAAAAAUUAAAAAAAAAAAAAAAAAG